GAGCGGCAGGGUGCAGCAAUGUAUCCGAGAGCGGCGGACUGGUGAGUAACGCGUGGGUGACCUGCCUUGAGGAUGGGGAUAGCCNUUAGAAAUAGCGGGUAAUACCGAANACGUUCGUGUNGUNGAGGCGGNGCGAGGAAAGGGGAUCCGGCCCCGCCUUGAGANGGGCCCGCGUCCCAUUAGCUAGUUGGGGGUGUAACGGACCACCAAGGCGAAGAUGGGUAGCCGGCCUGAGAGGGUGAACGGCCACACUGGGACUGAGAUACGGCCCAGACUCCUACGGGAGGCAGCAGCUAAGAAUAUUCCGCAAUGGACGAAAGUCUGACGGAGCGACGCCGCGUGGAUGACGAAGGCCGAAAGGUUGUAAAGUCCUUUUGCGGAUGAAGAAUAAGCGGUGGAGGGAAUGCCGCCGNGAUGACGCAAGUUCUGAAANGNCGCCCCGG
rnacentral:rRNA from 1 species